UACAGAGGGUGCGAGCGUUGUUCGGAAUCACUGGGCUUAAAGCGUGUGUAGGCGGGUCGUUAAGUGCCUUGUGAAAUCCCAUGGCUCAACCAUGGAACUGCUGGGCAUACUGGCGAUCUUGUGCCACCUAGGGCGAGCGGAACAGAUGGUGGAGCGGUGAAAUGCGUAGAUAUCAUCUGGAACGCCAAUGGUGAAACAGCUCGCUGGGGUGUGCAGACGCUGGAGACACGAAAGCCAGGGAGCGAACGGG
rnacentral:rRNA from 1 species